GAGGAGAAAGAGGAAGAUGAAGAGCAGGGGGAAGAUUUUGAUUCCCUGUCCCCGUGAGAAUUGCUGAUGACUACUUCUGGACACAGAUAUCAUGCUGAGAACUGUUUAUCAAAAUGAUUUAACAGAAUAUUAAUUUUCAUAGAAGACAUGUCAAUGUUCCUGAGGGCAUGCAGCCCUGGAAAAGAGAGCCAGAUGGCAGAAGCAAGCAGUGUGGAAUGUUCUUACUGAGGAAGACCUUCUCAAAGCUGAUGAUGUAAUAGGUAUGAAGGAGCAUUUCAUGGGAGUCACAGUCCCAUGCACCUGUGUCAGGGCACACAGAGCUCCUAGCCUUGCAUCCUGCGUGAGAGGUGACCUGGAAUAUUCCCUGAUCCCAACAGGGUCCUGGGUUGCAUGGUUCCCCCUCAGUCAUGGUCCUCCCUGUGCCUCAUGGGGUACGCAGCUUCUACGGGCUGAAUUUAUAUCAGUGAUUAACUGGAGCUGGACCACAACCACACCACAGGCAAGCCCUGGGCACUGAGGACAUUAAGAGCAGCAGACAACAUCUCCUCCGCUGCUUCUGACUCUGUUCCACAAGCCAAGGCAGCUCCCACACAGCAGGCAUCCAGCCUAACUCCCAGCAGGGAGAGUGUGAGAUGUCUGUGGAUGAGCCCACAGGGACUACAGGAUUCUGUGGGAAGACAUCUGGUAGCUUCUGGAGCAGCUGCAGCAUCCAGGACACAUGAACUACAGUGGAGUUCAGAUCCUCAGCUGGCCUCAUCACGGACAGUCCCAUGAGGAGUGGGUGUUUGGUUCCUGCUUCCCAGUUAGGGCAGGAACAAGCCCAGACGCAGUCUUGCUUUUAACUACUGGACCCAACACAAAGCCUCCCUUGCAGGCUUACCAGAGCAUGAAAACGAAAUGGCCACCUCCUGUAACAAGAAAGACUUCUAGAAGAGGAAGGAGACAUCAAUACAUUCACAAAACCUUCAACUCGAAAUCUCUCUUGCCAAUAAGUGUGUAGGGAUAAAGGUAAAGCAGAUAUUGAGGGACCAACCAGUCAAUGACUGACACAAAGUGAGAUCUGUCUCAUGUGACAGACACAACCUCUGACGCUAUUUAUGGUAUUCUUUCUGAUUUACUUGCAGACAGAAAAGUAGCACACCUGUCUCCAGAGGCUUCACUCAGCAGCUGAAAGCCACAGCCAAUCCUCAGAUGGAGCUCGGGAAGUCUUGUGGAAGAGUGGGGGGAGAGUGACAAGGAAACUGGUUGGGUUAAAACACUACAAGAAGUCCCCUACCGUCAGAUACCUUGGACCAUGGAGUAUGCUAGAGCCUGUGCAACCAACCCCAGAGCCGGGUUAGCUAUCUGCAGUUGGUCUCCAUGUGGGUCAUCUGACAAGUAGAUCCAGGACUGUCUCAGUCUGUGUUGCCUGCCAUUGGAUCUGUUCCCCAUACCCGGACUGCCUGAUUGUAAAUCUGUGGGGCAGAAUGUGCUCGGGCCACCUGGGACUAGAUGUCCCGGGGUGGUGUGGUACCCAG
ensembl:lncRNA